UACGUAGGGUGCGAGCGUUAAUCGGAAUUACUGGGCGUAAAGCGUGCGCAGGCGGUUCUCCAAGUCCGUUGUGAAAGCCCCGGGCUCAACCUGGGAAUGGCAGUGGAAACUAGGGGACUGGAAUCUGGCAGAGGGGGGUGGAAUGCCGCGUGUAGCAGUGAAAUGCGUAGAGAUGCGGCGGAACACCGAUGGCGAAGGCAGCCCCCUGGGCUGAGAUUGACGCUCAGGCACGAAAGCGUGGGGAGCAAACGGG
rnacentral:rRNA from 1 species